rnacentral:lncRNA from 1 species
UGCCUUGUCUCUAUGAGCAGGUACACUUCAAGCAAAAUAUGAAGGAGUUUUACAACUCCUAGACUCCACCAAGUGAAGAACCUAGAUCUACGAGCACAAACACACUGGAGAUACUGGACACUAAGGCAAUCACUGCCCUGAGAUGCUUAAGGACGUUACUACUGGAGUAACCUCGUUGUGGAAGUAAUUACUGACCUUCUGCCAGUCAAGAGAGACAAUCUAGGACGCCCCAUCAUCCCGAUCUCCAUCGGCAUGCUUGCAGAUCGUACGCUAAGUUUCCCAAAGAGAAUAUUGAAGAACCUCUACGUCUGAGUUGGUACCUUAUACGCUCCAGCAGACUUCGUGGUGAUAGAGACUGAUACUGAUGAGAGGGCACCCAUCAUCUUAGGGAGGCCAUUUCUAAACACCUCAGGAGCUAUCAUCUACGCUAGUGCUGCCAAGAUCAGUUUCUACAUCAAGGGGAGGAAGGAGAUGUUUUCCUUCAAGAACAAGACACACAAAUCUCAGAGCAAUCCUGACAUGAACCAAGGAAUAGGACCAACAGGAGGAACAGAAACAAGCAAAUGUGGACCGAGUCAGCUAAAAUGGUCACUGCAAUUCAAGGAGGUCAAGACCAUCAACUCAAGUCGCCUUUCUUGAUCAAGAAGGAUGACCCUGGUGUUCCAAGCAUCGAGUGCACAAUCAACGGAUAUUCCUUUCAGAAGACACUCUACGACACUGGAUCUGACGUCAACAUAAUGGUCGCAGUCACCUAUCAACUCCUGUUCGGAACCAUGCCCCUAAAACCGACAUACAUUCAACUCCAGAUGGCAGAUCAGACAUUCCGAAAGGUUAUUGACAUGAGAGAAGACGAGUACAAUCCACCCAUCAUCCUUGGAAGACCGUUCCUCAGCACUGUUAAAGCAAUCAUCUACAUUGGAACCGGAGAAGUCCACAUGCAUUUCCCCUCUGAUAAGGUACGCCCCUAUUUUACUGACCCUAACUAUAUAGUUGAAGACUUUAAGCAAGUCAGGACAAGAAGAAGACGACACAACCGUAACCAGAGGAGGCAAAUCAUUAAGGACGGAUGGGCAGACUAUGAAGGAGAAGUCGUAAGGUCUGAAGACAUACAGCUUGAACAGAACUGUCCUGAGGAGACCGUAGCACCGAGUCAGGUGUGCAGAAAGAAGAUAGUUAUACACAAAGAGCAGGCUCUGCCGGAACCACCGACUAUGCCAUUCAGCAAAUCCCAGGACGACUGAGAAAACGGAGGGUCCCGUUCGGAGGACUUAAAAACACUGAACGCCUUGCCAAGAGGUAAACUUGGUAGUUAUCUUUUUCCUUUCAAUUAUUUUAAAAUAGUUUGCUUAGUUAAUCAGGUUCACAUCAUCUUGAAAAGAAAAUAAAAAUAUUAAGCCCCAUGUGGUUAUGCUCAUGGCAUAAAACCCAUAAGUACAUUCACUGUGGUGGCGUAAAAAUAAAAUAACUAUAUUCCUAUCCUAUAAAAAUAAAAUUAUAAAAAUAGAUUUAUGAUCCCACUAAAAAGAGUAAUAUUUAUUGAGGAGACUCAACAUGAUAAAGGCUAGAUAUUUAUGCUAACACUUAACUAGUUCCACAAGCUUUGUUGUCUAUUUGAGCUCCACAAAAUUCAAGGAUCAAAGAAGACUAGCAGACGGAGGACAUCCUAGUCGCCGUCACGGUGCUGCUGACAUUCAAAUAUACCUUCGCCAUCUGCUAGCUACAUCAGAAGGAAUUACGUCAAAAUCCAGCUUGGGGGAGAGCACCUCCAUUUAUCCAGCUAAGUAUUCUACUCACGUUUAUAUUUUACUCAAAUAAUAAAAAGAUGCAUAAUCGUAAAAACCCAAAUAAAGAUUUUGUGCUUAUAUAUAUAUCUUUGCUUAGUUUGCUAAAUAAAUAAAUAAAUAAAAUUUGCUAUGAACCCUCAUGAUGAGCUCUCACAUGGAAAGAUGAAUAGUUGCUCUGCCAUGACUAGUUCUCAAAAUUGAAAUCUCUCUCAAGUUUAGGCAUCACUGUUAUUAAUUAAGAUUUGCUCUAAACCUGAACUUGUGGGAAGAGUACUUGAUCUGAAGUCUAAGUCGUUAACGGAUAUGAUAUGGGAAGGUUGAGCUGCUGUUUAUCUGUUCCUAGAGAUGCUAGAAUUCUGGAGAAUUUUAUCUUUGAAAAUCUUUAAAAUAUCACAUGAUGAGUUCCUGUAUGAUGAGAGUUUAAAUUCCUACCACAGCCAUAUAUACAUGCUUGCUAGACUAUGAGCCACACAUUUACUUUUUACUGCUUAUGAGCAUUGAGUGUGGUCAAGCUUUGUAGACCCUUAGGAGCUUGUCAUGUGGUUAAGUCAAGAUUCACUUGCACGUUCACUCAUACAUGCUACUUCUACCCUGGAAGUACCAUCCACAUAUACCCAUUCCCAUCUCCAGAACCACCCAAAAAUAUUCUACUCCUAAUCCGGGAGAGAAUAGCCAAAAAUAUUUCUAUUUUUUCCCUAUGAAAUAAAUGCUCAAGUUAUCUUGUCACUACCACUUGCUAUAUUAUCUCAUGAGAUGAGUGCUCUAAAGAAAAAAGAGAAAAAAAAAGAAGAAUACGAGGAAAUAAAAAGGGGCAAUUGCCCGGAACCUCGAAAGAAAAAAAAAGAAAAAUAAGUGAGACGAGAGGUAAAAAUGGACAAGUGUCCGACAGUAGAAUUAGGGGUACAAGAUACCCACCUGAGAGAAAAGAAAAAAAGAAAAAGAAAGAAAAAAGAAAAUAUAGAGCAUCUCAUUCUCCUCAAAAAGUUUCAAAAGAGCAAGAAAGGUAUGUAUCCCCUCAAAAGAGCAUAAGUAGAAUUAGACUUUCACCAUUGUUAUCACCAUCAUCACCAUACACCAUUCAUUCGCCACACAUGCACAUCUUGAUUUGACUUAUUGACUUGUUCUUCUGGAUCCAUGGUUUGACUAUGCAAUAUAUGUCUUGUAAGUAUGUAUUAGCUGUCUCCCACCUAUGAGCUCCAGAUAUCAAAACCUUAUUAGAGUAGGGUGAGAGAGAAGGCAAUGUCACUAUGCCUUAUACCACAAAUACCACAUACUUUGAGAGAAGGCAUAUACCAUUACUGCCUUGGUAAGGAUCCAGAAAUACCACAAAAGAGAGAGUAGAGAGAGUCAUACAAGGAAUCUCUGAGUUUUAUUUGAAAAUCUGCAAAAACUCCAGAGCUAUAGUUAAUCGAAAAACAAGAGACAUGGUGCUUGACUAGACUGUUCUAUCUUUUAACUACUAAAGACAGAAGUGAUGGUUACAAGUCCCAUGGUGAAAGGUAAAUGAGUAAGUUUUAAGUCUUAACAGUUUACUCUAACCAGAGAUGAGAUCUUGUUUAAACACAUGUGUAUCUUUAAGUUAUGAAACCACUGCAGAAACUCUUGAGUCCAUCUUUGCUUAGGGACGAGCAAAGGUUAAGCUUGGGGGAGCUUGUUGACGGUCCUUAAUGCUCACAUUUAACCAUAAACUAAUCAUGGAAAAGGAUCCAAAUGCAACCAACACCUAGACUUAGGGUUUUAUCUGACAGAAUUCCACGAGUUUUGGUGUUUGUCUAUUUCUGCAGGGGGUUAUCAGGAAAUACGGAAGAAAGGCCCACACAUCGGGUUUACAUAGAGAUAUUAACGUGCCGCGUAAUUUUCUAUCAUCUAGAAGACUCCAGAAGCCACGGGACCGAACGGAAGACGUAACGGAGCCGGGCACUGGGCGCCCGCCCUCCCCCCUGGACCAAUCAGGGCGAAGUUCGGGGAUCAUGCUCCACCGACCUAAUACUUCAAGGAAAACCACACGAUCAAUGUCGGUUUGAUCCGACGGCCCAGAUUCACUUGAAGGGACUAUAAAACCAGACCCCCCUAGCCCCUGGAGAUCGUACCUCUUCUACAGAAUCAAAGCUAGGGUUUCAAUUCUUCAUCCAAGUAGAGAGGAUCCCUCUAGUUCUUCUAGUUCUACCUCUAGUUCAUCUAGAUCUAGUUCUAGUUCAUCUAGUUCUAGUUCUAGUUUCUCUAGUUCUAGUUCUAGUUAGUUCUAGUUGUAAUCUAGAAAAUAGGCAGAGAGAAGAGGAGAGCAGAGGAGGAGCCGGAUCUGUCGGAUCUUCCUCAACAUUAUACUUUUGCAGCAUCUGGUUCGUUCUUCAUCGUUCUCCAGGUUCUUCAAUUCAUAAUUCCUGAGUUCUUUAAUUACUUUUAAGUUAUUUAUUGGAUUCCCGCUUGCAUCAAGUGCUCUAGUCUUUAUAACGCUAGAGUAGUAAUUAAUAGAUUAGACGUGGUGUUUAGUCUUGCGAUUACCUGGAAUUGCACCCAAUCCCACGGAUUGUUGUGGUAGCCCUAGGGUAGUGACAGCCCUAACGGUCGACGUAUUCGACCACGUUCGGAUCGGUGUUUGUAGGACCGUAGUCAGACCUUCCUAGCCCCCUUCUCAUCUCUUUCUGUGGUUAGUGCUCUGAUGUCCCGAUAUAAAUAAUCUUUGAAGUAAUUCUUGAUUCUUAGAUCAACUAGAGAACUCUCAGGAAACUUCCUCUGUUCCCACCAAAAAUAAUCAUAUAGUUAUCCUUGGGCGAUCUUGGAUCUUAAUUAGUACACUCACGUUCCCUGUGGAAAAUCGAUACUCUGGAAUACUCCCGGGUGAAAGCUACAUCGGUAUCCGUGCGCUUGCGGAUUUUUCUGUUUGCGUUUAAAAUACCCAACAAGCUUUCUGGCGCCGUUGCCGGGGAACGGUAGCUGUACUAGUUUCGAACAAAGUCGUCCGUGUAUCCUUUUUCUUUUCCUUUUUCACCACACUCACCUUAUCAUUUUCACCAUACCACAUGGAUUUCACUCUAAGCAUUAAUGAGCAUGGAAUUUAUUUCAUAGCCACUUCAUUUACUCCAUGCUCAUAUGCAACAUCUUCACAAUCCAUUGGUUUUUCCAACACCACCACAUUCGAGAUCUCCAACCCCCUCAUCCUUUCUAUUUAUAAAAACUUUAAAAGGGCGGUUGUCGAUGCAUAUGUCUAUAAUAAAUUUUGCAGAUCUCAUUGAGUUGAUCUUGAUAUAGGUCAGCGUGGGAGGGGAAACCACUUCGCCGACAUAAAUUGAUGGUUUCCCAAGGACAAGCUUAGUGUCCUAAAAUAAGCACUGAUCAGACCGUAACAUGAGCUUUUAAUUAUUUGCAACAUUACCUUGUGUGUUGCGCAUAUAAGAAUAAUUGUAAAAAUAUUCCUUUGGAUAUUCUUGUCACUAACCUUUCUAGGAUUGGAGCAAGAAGAUCGGAUGAAUGACAAGCACAAGGUAUGUCCAACCAAUCAUCAUACAACAUUGAAUUAAAUUCAUCCAAACUUGAAUUUUGCAAAAUUCAAGCUUGGGGGAGACUUUACAUGAAACAUCCUUUGCCAUGUUGCUAUGUUGGUUGUCCCUACCUUUGAGACAUGCUCAAUUUGUUAAAUACUAAUCACACUACUUCAUCUCCACUUGAGUAGAACUCUAUAAAUGCUCUCAUGCUACCUUUAUUUGCUUUAGUAUAUGUCUAGGUUUGGAGUCGUUUCAUUUAUCUCUUAAUUAAGCAUGGUGCUUAGUUUAGGGCUGAUGAUCUUAUUUCCGAGGGAGUUUAAAUUAAGCAUGAUGCUUAGGUUAAAAUGCCCUCCUAAAUCAAAUUAGACAUGGUGUCUAGGUUGAUCUUUGAGCCGAUAGUAUGCUAUAGUAAACAUUGGAUAUUUUGUUGGACUAACCCCUGCAGGAAAACUUUCAAUAUCGACCUGGGAAGUCCUGAGACAAACUCACAUUGGAGAUAAAGAGAGAGGCACAUGAAGUUUAACAAUUUACACAAGGAAGGCAUAGGUCACAAGAGAUGAUCCCUGGAGGGUGCCACAAACACGAUGCACAACCGCUAAGAGAGGAAAGCUUCCACAAGGUGAUACUGUACCAUCACUCUUCAAGUAAGGUAACAUCUUAAUGUACUUGACUAUCACUUUUAUAAGCUUCUCCUUAUUUCUGGCAUUCACAUGAAUAAAAGAGACAAACAUGUAUGAUCUACAACUCUAGAUUAACCAAACCAAUCGAUUCAAUAUGUUUAGUCCUUCCACCGUUGUGAUCCCACACUCCUAAUCAUAUGAGCUAAAAUGUUGCACAUGCAAUCUUUGGAAGAUAUAUAUAAAAAAACAACAUAAGUAUAGAUAGAUUAUCUUUCCAUUAGGUUGAGUGAUCUGAUCUGACAAAUGUUUUAAAUGUUACACUCAUGGUCUUAUUAUCCAUCAACUUUGUCUUGCUCACUAUGCUUAAGGUUUGAGAGAACAAAUACACUUUUGGUUUUGUUGGUAUUUUCCACCAACAGGGCCCAUACACUUGAUCUCUGCCUUGUCUCUAUGAGCAGGUACACUUCAAGCAAAAUAUGAAGGAGUUUUACAACUCCUAGACUCCACCAAGUGAAGAACCUAGAUCUACGAGCACAAACACACUGGAGAUACUGGACACUCAGGCAAUCACUGCCCUGAGAUGCUUAAGGACGCUACUACUGGAGUAACCCCGUUGUGGAUGUAAUUACUGACCUUCUGCCGGUCAAGAGAGACAAUCUAGGAUGCCCCAUCAUCCCGAUCUCCAUCGGCAUGCUUGCAGAUCGUACGCUAAGUUUCCCAAAGAGAAUAUUGAAGAACCUCUACGUCUGAGUUGGUACCUUAUACGCUCCAGCAGACUUCGUGGUGAUAGAGACUGAUACUGAUGAGAGGGCACCCAUCAUCUUAGGGAGGCCAUUCCUAAACACCUCAGGACCUGUCAUCUACGCUAGUGCUGCCAAGAUCAGUUUCUACAUCACGGGGAGGAAGGAGAUGUUUUCCUUCAAGAACAAGACACACAAAUCUCAGAGCAAUCCUGACAUGAACCAAGGAAGAGGACCAACACGAGGAACAGAAACAAGCAAAUGUGGACCGAGUCAGCUAAGAUGGUCACUGCAAUUCAAGGAGGUCAAGACCAUCAACUCAAGUCGCCUUUCUUGAUCAAGAAGGAUGACCCUGGUGUUCCAAGCAUCGAGUGCACAAUCAACGGAUAUUCUUUUCAGAAGACACUCUACGACACUGGAUCUGACGUCAACAUAAUGGUCGCAGUCACCUAUCAACUCCUGUUCGGAACCAUGCCCCUAAAACCGACAUACAUUCAACUCCAGAUGGCAGAUCAGACAUUCCGAAAGGUUAUUGACAUGAGAGAAGACGAGUACAAUCCACCCAUCAUCCUUGGAAGACCGUUCCUCAGCACUGUUAAAGCAAUCAUCUACAUUGGAACCGGAGAAGUCCACAUGCAUUUCCCCUCUGAUAAGGUACGCCACUAUUUUACUGACCCUAACUAUAUAGUUGAAAACUCUAAGUAGGUCAGGACAAGAAGAAGACGACACAACCGUAACCAGAGGAGGCAAAUCAUCAAGGACGGAUGGGCAGACUAUGAAGGAGAAGUCGUAAGGUCUGAAGACAUACAGCUUGAACAGAACUGUCCUGAGGAGACCGUAGCACCGAGUCAGGUGUGCAGAAAGAAGAUAGUUAUACACAAAGAGCAGGCUCUGCCGGAACCACCGACUAUGCCAUUCAGCAAAUCCCAGGACGACUGAGAAAACGGAGGGUCCCGUUCGGAGGACUUAAAAACACCGAACGCCUUGCCAAGCGGUAAACUUGGUAGUUAUCUUUUUCCUUUCAAUUAUUUUAAAAUAGUUUGCUUAGUUAAUCAGGUUCACAUCAUCUUGAAAAGAAAAUAAAAAUAGUAAGCCCCAUGUGGUUAUGCUCAUGGCAUAAAACCCAUAAGUACAUUCACUGUGGUGGCGUAAAAAUAAAAUAAAUAUAUUCCUGUCCUAUAAAAAUAAAAUUAUAAAAAUAGAUUUAUGAUCCCACUAAAAAGAGUAAUAUUUAUUGAGGAGACUCAACAUGAUAAAGGCUAGAUAUUUAUGCUAACACUUAACUAGUUCCACAAGCUUUGUUGUCUAUUUGAGCUCCACAGAAUUCAAGGAUCAAAGAAGACUAGCAGACGGAGGACAUCCUAGUCGCCGUCAGGGUGCUGCUGACAUUCAAAUAUACCUUCGCCACCUGCUAGCUACAUCAGAAGGAAUUACGUCAAAAUCCAGCUUGGGGGAGAGCACCUCCAUUUAUCCAGCUAAGUAUUCUACUCACGUUUAUAUUUUACUCAAAUAAUAAAAAGAUGCAUAAUCGUAAAAACCCAAAUAAAGAUUUUUUGCUUAUAUAUAUAUCUUUGCUUAGUCUGCUAAAUAAAUAAAUAAAUAAAAUUUGCUAUGAACCCUCAUGAUAAGCUCUCACAUGGAAAGAUGAAUAGUUGCUCUGCCAUGACUAGUUCUCAAAAUUGAAAUCUCUCUCAAGUUUAGGCAUCACUGUUAUUAAUUAAGAUUUGCUCUAAACCUGAACUUGUGGGAAGAGUACUUGAUCUGAAGUCUAAGUCAUUAACGGAUAUGAUAUGGGAAGGUUAAGCUGUUGUUUAUCUGUUCCUAGAGAUGCUAGAAUUCUGGAGAAUUUUAUCUUUGAAAAUCUUUAAAAUAUCACAUGAUGAGUUCCUGUAUGAUGAGAGUUUAAAUUCCUACCACAGCCAUAUAUACAUGCUUGCUAGACUAUGAGCCACACAUUUACUUUUUACUGCUUAUGAGCAUUGAGUGUGGUCAAGCUUUGUAGACCCUUAGGAGCUUGUCAUGUGGUUAAGUCAAGAUUCACUUGCACGUUCACUCAUACAUGCUACUUCUACUCUGGAAGUACCAUCCACAUAUACCCAUUUCCAUCUCCAGAACCACCCAAAAAUAUUCUACUCCUAAUCCGGGAGAGAAUAGCCAAAAAUAUUUCUAUUUUUUCCCUGUGAAAUAAAUGCUCAAGUUAUCUUGUCACUACCACUUGCUAUAUUAUCUCAUGAGAUGAGUGCUCUAAAGAAAAAAGAUAAAAAAAGAAGAAUACGAGGAAAUAAAAAGGGGCAAUUGCCCGGAACCUCGAAAGAAAAAAAAGAAGAAAAAGUGAGACGAGAGGUAAAAAUGGACAAGUGUCCGACAGUAGAAUUAGGGGUACAAGAUACCCACCUGAGAGAAAAGAGAAAAAGAAAUAUAGAGCAUCUUAUUCUCCUCAAAAAGUUUCAAAAGAGCAAGAAAGGUAUGUAUCCCCUCAAAAGAGCAUAAGUAGAAUUAGACUUUCACCAUUGUUAUCACCAUCAUCACCAUACACCAUUCAUUCGCCACACAUGCACAUCUUGAUUUGACUUAUUGACUUGUUCUUCUGGAUCUAUGGUUUGACUAUGCAAUAUAUGUCUUGUAAGUAUGUAUUAGCUGUCUCCCACCUAUGAGCUCCAGGUAUCAAAACCUUAUUAGAGUAGGGUGAGAGAGAAGGCAAUGUCACUAUACCUUAUACCACAAAUACCACAUACUUUGAGAGAAGGCAUAUACCAUUACUGCCUUGGUAAGGAUCUAGAAAUACCACAAAAGAGAGACUAGAGAGAGUCAUACAAGGAAUCUCUGAGUUUUAUUUGAAAAUCUGCAAAAACUCCAGAGCUAUAGUUAAUCGAAGAACAAGAGACAUGGUGCUUGACUAGACUGUUCUAUCUUUUAACUACUCAAGACAGAAGUGAUGGUUACAAGUCCCAUGGUGAAAGGUAAAUGAGUAAGUUUUAAGUCUUAACAGUUUACUCUAACCAGAGAUGAGAUCUUGUUUAAACGCAUGUGUAUCUUUAAGUUAUGAAACCACUGCAGAAACUCUUGAGUCCAUCUUUGCUCAGGGACGAGCAAAGGUUAAGCUUGGGGGAGCUUGUUGACGGUCCUUAAUGCUCACAUUUAACCAUCAACUAAUCAUGGAAAAGGAUCCAAAUGCAACCAACACCUAGACUUAGGGUUUUAUCUGACAGAAUUCCACGAGUUUUGGUGUUUGUCUAUUUCUGCAGGGGGUUAUCAGGAAAUACGGAAGAAAGGCCCACACGUCGGGUUUACAUAGAGAUAUUAACGUGCCGCGCAAUUUUCUAUCAUCUAGAAGACUCCAGAAGCCACGGGACCGAACGGGAGACGUAACGGAGCCGGGCACUGGGCGCCCGCCCUCCCCCCUGGACCAAUCAGGGCGAAGUUCGGGGAUCAUGCUCCACCGACCUAAUACUUCAAGGAAAACCACACGAUCAAUGUCGAUUUGAUCCGACGGCCCAGAUUCACUUGAAGGGACUAUAAAACCAGACCCCCCUGGCCCC